rnacentral:lncRNA from 1 species
UCCAAAGUCAGCAGGAGGAAGUAGAAAUGAGACAGAGGCCUCUGUCUCCUAAUCUUUUCCAUAGGCUACUGUUUUCUUUCUUUUCUCAUGAGGAAAAAUGAUAAAAGCAAAAUAAACAAAUUAGCUACCACUUAUGAAAAUCCCCAGGAAAUUCCUUUUCCAGAGUUCUCACUUACUAAUUUGGCUAACAUUACCAAUGGUAACAGACCCCACGUAUCCGCCACAAUUGCUGUGAGUUGCAGAGGAAAAAGACUGGGAGGAAAUCUUCACUUUUCUUCUGCAACAGCAACCAACAGAAAUGAAAGAGCCAGGGGAUUUUGCAAAAUAUCAACUCCUGAGAACUAAGAAUGAGAGCCUUUCCUGCCAAGCCCAUUCUGUGCCAGUCAUCAUAAAAUACUAUGACCCUUCCUUCCAGAAGAACAAUGCGCUGUGAUCUUUGGCUACUCAAGCUUUACAUCAUCCAUAUUACCCUGCAGCAGGAACAGAUUGAUGGGCUUCUGGCAGUUGGACUAGUUCCAAAGGUGACAAGAGUAAAGGCUCUUUUCCAAGAACAUCUCAACACCUUUGCUGAAACAUGUUAC